AUUGAACGCUGGCGGCAGGCCUAACACAUGCAAGUCGAACGAGUGGCGGACGGGUGAGUACUGUCUGGGAAACUGCCUGAUGGAGGGGGAUAACUACUGGAAACGGUAGCUAAUACCGCAUACCAUCGGAUGUGCCCAGAUGGGAUUAGCUAGUAGGUGGGGUAAAGGCUCACCUAGGCGACGAUCCCUAGCUGGUCUGAGAGGAUGACCAGCCACACUGGAACUGAGACACGGUCCAGACUCCUACGUGAGGCAGCAGUGGGGAAUAUUGAACAAUUGGCGCAACCCUGAUGCAGCCAUGCCGCGUGUAUGAAGAAGGCCUUCGGGUUGUAAAGUACUUUCAGCGUGGAGGCGUUACCCGCAGAAGAAGCACCGGCUAACUCCGUGCCAGCAGCCGCGGUAAUAC
rnacentral:rRNA from 1 species